rnacentral:piRNA from 1 species
UCAAAAGCCUUGUUUAUUUAUAGCCAC